rnacentral:rRNA from 1 species
AGAGUUUGAUCCUGGCUCAGGAUGAACGCUAGCGGCAGGCCUAACACAUGCAAGUCGAGGGGCAGCAUUAAAAUAACUUGUUAUUUUAGAUGGCGACCGGCGGACGGGUGCGUAACGCGUAUGCAACCUACCUAUAACAGGGGGAUAACCGAGAGAAAUUUUGACUAAUACCCCGUAAUACUAGAUGAGGCAUCUUAUUUAGUUGAAAGAUUUAUUGGUUAUAGAUGGGCAUGCGUGACAUUAGCUAGAUGGUGCGGUAACGGCGUACCAUGGCAACGAUGUCUAGGGGAACUGAGAGGUUAAUCCCCCACACUGGUACUGAGACACGGACCAGACUCCUACGGGAGGCAGCAGUGAGGAAUAUUGGUCAAUGGAAGGAAUUCUGAACCAGCCAUGCCGCGUGCAGGACGACGGCUCUAUGAGUUGUAAACUGCUUUUAUAAGAGGAUAAAAAAGAGUACGAGUACUCUAUUGCAGGUAUCUUAUGAAUAAGGAUCGGCUAACUCCGUGCCAGCAGCCGCGGUAAUACGGAGGAUUCGAGCGUUAUCCGGAUUUAUUGGGUUUAAAGGGUGCGUAGGUGUAGAUUAAGUUAGUGGUGAAAUUUAGCGGCUCAACCGUAUUUAUGCCAUUAAUACUGAUAUACUAGAGUAUGGAUGCAGCAGGCGGAAUGUGUAGUGUAGCGGUGAAAUGCAUAGAUAUUACACAGAACACCGAUUGCGAAGGCAGCUUGCUAAUCCAAAACUGACACUGAUGCACGAAAGCGUGGGUAGCGAACGGGAUUAGAUACCCCGGUAGUCCACGCAGUAAACGAUGAUAACUCGUUGUCGGCGAUAUACAGUCGGUGACCAAGCGAAAGCGAUAAGUUAUCCACCUGGGGAGUACGACCGCAAGGUUGAAACUCAAAGGAAUUGACGGGGGCCCGCACAAGCGGAGGAACAUGUGGUUUAAUUCGAUGAUACGCGAGGAACCUUACCCGGGCUUGAAAGUUAGUGACGGAGUCAGAGACGGCUCUUUCCUUCGGGACACGAAACUAGGUGCUGCAUGGUUGUCGUCAGCUCGUGCCGUGAGGUGUCGGGUUAAGUCCCAUAACGAGCGCAACCCCUAUCGAUAGUUACCAGCGAGUUAAGUCGGGGACUCUAUUGAGACUGCCUGUGUAAGCAGUGAGGAAGGUGGGGAUGACGUCAAAUCAGCACGGCCCUUACGUCCGGGGCGACACACGUGUUACAAUGGCCGGUACAGAGGGCAGCUACCUAGCGAUAGGAUGCAAAUCUCAAAAGCCGGUCUCAGUUCGGAUUGGAGGCUGGAACUCGCCUCCAUGAAGUUGGAUUCGCUAGUAAUCGCAUAUCAGCCAUGAUGCGGUGAAUACGUUCCCGGGCCUUGUACACACCGCCCGUCAAGCCAUGGAAGUUGGGGGUGCCUGAAGUCCGUUACCGCGAGGGACGGCCUAGGGCAAACUUGGUAACUAGGGCUAAGUCGUAACAAGGUAACCGUAA